CGUGAGACAAGAGAAGAUUUGUGAAACAAACCACCUCAAGGUAAAAAAACAUAACGGAUGAAUUGAAACGUAAUUAGAAAAUAAACAACUUUUUAAAGAGCAACAAUUGACAGUAUAUAGAGAACUGGACAGAGUGAGUGUGAUGUCACACAGAAAACAGCUUACUUUCAGCUCCAACCAAAUGAACUCAAUUCAGACGCCAUUUCUCCGCAGGACAAACGCGACCAUUUGCGGCCAGACGAGGAAGUCAAACUAACCCUCUGAUGUGUUCGAUGGAACGUUCAGCAUGAACCUCAGAUAACCGGGAGCGAGCGGCUCACAGAAGACCCGGUGAAGGACGAGGAGACGCGGCGAUCAUCUGCUGGUGGGCAGAUCCGUGGGAGGAAACAGCGUCUGAAUGGCUUCCAGGUCGCUCGUUUAGAACACUGAAACGGGUUCUGCAGUAAAAGUUCUGGUUCUUCAUUUCUGCAGCCAAACAGCCGUUUGUAAAGGAUGGAAACAGGGCGGAUCGGU